GAUGUUGUGAUGAUGGGCAAAAUG
rnacentral:piRNA from 1 species